rnacentral:rRNA from 1 species
AGCGUUGUCCGGAAUCAUUGGGCGUAAAGAGCGUGUAGGCGGCUAGGUAGGUCCGUUGUGAAAACUCGAGGCUCAACCUCGAGACGCCGAUGGAAACCAUCUGGCUAGAGUCCGGAAGAGGAGAGUGGAAUUCCUGGUGUAGCGGUGAAAUGCGCAGAUAUCAGGAAGAACACCCGUGGCUAAGGCGGCUCUCUAGUACGGUACUGACGCUGAGACGCGAAAGCGUGGGGAGCGAACAGG